CAACCGUGUGUCGGUCAAGGACAUCAAGCGCUGGAACCGUUUGUCCGGCAACAGUCUGCGUGCUGGCCAGGUUCUGGCCCUGCGCGGUGGC
rnacentral:tRNA from 1 species